GUCUACGGCCAUGCCGGCCUGAAUGUGCCCAAGCCUGGUUAGUACUUGGGCCUGCUUAGUACUGGUUAGUACUUGGAUGGGAGACCACCUAGGAAUACCAGGUGCUGUAGGCG
rnacentral:rRNA from 1 species